GGUUAAAACUCAAAUGAAUUGACGGGGGCCCGCACAAGCGGUGGAGCAUGUGGUUUAAUUCGAUGCAACGCGAAGACCUUUACCUGGUCUUGACAUCCAUAGAAUUCUGCAGAGAUGUGGGAGUCCCUUCGGGAAUUAUGAGACAGGUGCUGCAUGGCUGUCGUCAGCUCGUGUUGUGAAAUGUUGGGUUAAGUCCCGCAACGAGCGCAACCCUUAUUCUUUGUUGCCAGCGAUUUGGUCGGGAACUCAAAGGAGACUGCCGUUGAUAAAGCGGAGGAAGGUGGGGACGACGUCAAGUCAUCAUGGCCCUUACGACCAGGGCUACACACGUGCUACAAUGGCGUAUACAAAGGGAAGCGAAGGUGCGAGCUGGAGCGGAUCUCAUAAAGUACGUCUAAGUUCGGAUUGGAGUCUGCAACUCGACUCCAUGAAGUCGGAAUCGCUAGUAAUCGUAGAUCAGAAUGCUACGGUGAAUACGUUCCCGGGCCUUGUACACACCGCCCGUCACACCAUGGGAGUGGGUUGCACCAGAAGUAGAUAGCUUAACCGCGAGGGGGGCGUUUACCACGGUGUGAUUCAUGACUGGGGUGAAGUCGUAACAAGGUAACCA
rnacentral:rRNA from 1 species